rnacentral:misc_RNA from 1 species
GAUGAAGAACGUAGCGAAAUGCGAUAAGUAAUGUGAAUUGCAGAAUUCAGUGAAUCAUCGAAUCUUUGAACGCACAUUGCGCCCGCCAGCAUUCUGGCGGGCAUGCCUGUUCGAGCGUCAUUUCAACCCUCGAGCCCCCCCGGGGGCCUCGGUGUUGGGGGACAGCACACCAGCCGCCCCCGAAAUGCAGUGGCGACCCCGCCGCAGCCUCCCCUGCGUAGUAGCACACACCUCGCACCGGAGCGCGGAGGCGGUCACGCCGUAAAACGCCCAACUUUCUUAGAGUUGACCUCGGAUCAGGUAGGAAUACCCGCUGAACUUAAGCAUAUCAAUAAGCGGAGGA